CCUCCUUUUAUAGUCGCGGAAGAGGCUUCUGGAGUUGCUUCGAGCUUAGGGCUUCUGGUGCCUUCAACUAUUCUCCUCUUCUGUUGCCUGGACACUUGGACGGGUCCGCGCUCCUCAAUAAUUGUCCUGGGUACAGUAGAGUUGCUGUUUAUUCUUUUUGCCUUGUCCUCUAUCGCGCACUGUCUCCUCGUGAUAUUCUGGAUGCUGCUCGAGCGACUCCGAAAAAUUUCGGAUUUCAAAUUUCGAGUUACUAUUCACAGUACUAUUCAUAUUCGGGAAUAUGAAUAGUGCCCGAGCACUCACCGGGAGUGGGUGGAGCACCUAUGGGUGGCGGCACUAUUCAGCCACUAUUCACUCACUAUUGCGCACUAUUGAGCUACUAUUCGGGGUCGCUUUCGGGGAUACGAGCACGCGCGGGUGCAUGAUUAGGUAUAUUCCUUAAUUAAGCCUAUUCUCAAGAUCUUUGCGGGUUGGCGAGACCGAAGAUUCAGCCGGUCGUGCUGCUAUGCUUGUGACAGUCCUACUCGGUACUCACCGCAUGCCUCGCUAGCUCGCUUCAGAACCAGGCCAGCCCGGUCUGCACCCUUACCGUCCCCAGCCACGCUCACACAGGACUCAGGCUCUACCGUCUCCCCAGGCAGUUCCACCUGAAGGGAACACUUCUCUGCGCACACAGGGUUUUCCUCAAACGCCGCUACUAGGGCUAACACGAGAACGACACACGCAGAGGUUUCUCCUCUAGGGUCCCUAGCGUAGAGACAUCGCCCCAUAAGAACGAGCUUAAAGGAGGGCAGGGAUGCUACCAGGACAGCUUAAUCCAUUUCCACGGGACAAGCUUACAUGCGGCUUUCCCUUUCGGGAAACCCCAAGCACUUAGCACAAACCUUGAUUACCUUACAAACCGAGGGACGAGCUCCAACGGCCUCCCUUUAUUCUAGUGGUGGUAGUACAGAGGAGGAGUAAUACAGCGGUAGAUUCUAAAAUAUGGUGGCUAAUUCCUUCUCUCUCAGAGAGUGGUGGUGGAUGUCUUCAUGAGUGGAGUGUGUCUUCGUGAUUCUCUGGUUUUCUGCUUCUCUGGUGGUUCGUUGUCUGAUGUCGUAGUGUGGCUCUGAUACCAGUAUUGGAAAACCGCGGUCGAGAGCGAGGGAACGAGCGACUCCGAAAAAUUUCGGAUUUCAAAUUUCGAGUUACUAUUCACAGUACUAUUCAAAUUCGGUGAACACUAUUCAAAUUCGCAGCACUAUUUAAAUUCAGCUCACUAUUCAAAUUCGGGAAUAUGAAUAGUGCCCGAGCACUCACCGGGAGUGGAUGGAGCACCUAUGGGUGGCAGCACUAUUCGGCCACUAUUCACUAACUAUUGCGCACUAUUGAGCUACUAUUCGGGGUCGCUUUCAGGGGAUACGAGCACGCGCGGGUGCGUGAUUAGGUAUAUUCCUUAAUUAAGCCUAUUCUCAGGAUCUUUGCGGGUUGGCGAGACCGAAGAUUCAGCCGGUUGUGCUGCUAUGCUUGUGACAGUCCUACUCGGUAAUCACCGCAUGCCUCGCUGGCUCGCUUCAGAACCAGGCCAUCCCGGACUGCACCCUCACCGUCCCCAGCCACGCUCACACAGGACUCAGGCUCUACCGUCUCCCCAGGCAGUUCCACCUGAAGGGAACACUUCUCUGCGCACACAGGGUUCUCCUCAAACGCCGCUACCAGGGCUAACACGAGAACGACACACGCAGAGGUUUCUCCUCUAGGGUCCCUAGCGUAGAGACAUCGCCCCAUAAGAACGAGCUUAAAGGAGGGCAGGGAUGCUACCAGGACAGCUUAAUCCAUUUCCAUGGGACAAGCUUACAUGCGGCUUUCCCUUUCGGGAAACCCCAAGCACUUAGCACAAACCUUGAUUACCUUACAAACCGAGGGACGAGCUCCAACGACCUCCCUUUAUUCUAGUGGUGGUAGUACAGAGGUGGAGUAAUACAGCGGUAGAUUCUAAAAUAUGGUGGCUAAUUCUUUCUCUCUCAGAGAGUGGUGGUGGAUGUCUUCAUGAGUGGAGUGUGGGUGGAGGUCUUCGGUGGUGGAGUGUGUCUUCGUGAUUCUUGGUGAUGCUCUGGUUGUGGUCUGGUUGAUGUCGUAGUGUGUUGCAUCCAAUGCUUCACCCGGUACCUCCUUUUAUAGUCGCGGCAGAGGCUUCUGGAGUUGCUUCGAGCUUAAGGCUUCUGGUGCCUUCAACUAUUCUCCUCUUCUGUUGCCUGGACACUUGGACGGCUGCCCGCUCCUCAAUAAUUGUCCUGGGUACAGUAGAGUUGCUGUU
rnacentral:lncRNA from 1 species